rnacentral:rRNA from 1 species
GAUGAACGCUGGCGGCGUGCCUAAUACAUGCAAGUCGAGCGAACAGACGAGGAGCUUGCUCCUCUGACGUUAGCGGCGGACGGGUGAGUAACACGUGGAUAACCUACCUAUAAGACUGGGAUAACUUCGGGAAACCGGAGCUAAUACCGGAUAAUAUAUUGAACCGCAUGGUUCAAUAGUGAAAGACGGUUUUGCUGUCACUUAUAGAUGGAUCCGCGCCGCAUUAGCUAGUUGGUAAGGUAACGGCUUACCAAGGCAACGAUGCGUAGCCGACCUGAGAGGGGGAUCGGCCACACUGGAACUGGGACACGGUCCAGACCCCCACGGGAGGCAGGAGGAGGGAAUCUUCCGCAAGGGGCGAAAGCCUGACGGAGCAACGCCGCGGGGGUGAUGAAGGUCUUCGGAUCGUAAAACUCUUUUAUUAGGGAAAAACAAAUGUGUAAGUAACUAUGCACGUCUGGACGGUACCUAAUCAGAAAGCCACGGCGAACUACGU